rnacentral:tRNA from 1 species
UCCUUGGGUGCUGAAAACAGUUAAAGCACUUGGCUGCUAACCGAAAGACUGGUGGUUUGAAUCCACCCAGAGGCU